GAACUCAAGUUUGACUAUCAGUAGACAGUUGAGAAUUCAGGAUAGUAGUAUAGUAUAGCCUUUAUUGUUGUUGUACAAAAUAAAUACAAUGAAAUUGGUUAAUUUAUUGGUUAAUAAUGAUCAAAAGAGUAUAGAAAUACUGGUACUUAGUGUUCUAAUGUUGUGGUUUGCUUUGUUUCCAUUUGUUUUCUAAUACCCCAGUGCAAUUAUUUAGGUGGAAAUAGUUUUUCUUGACCUAAAAUCUUUUAGAGGCGUUGAAUGAUAAUUUCUGCCUUCCUUCCCAGUGAAACUUUUAUCCUGCUGAUUAGAGGGGAUGGAAUUUUUAGUCCAGCAUACUCUGAGAAUCUCAAAUAGGGAAAAAUGCACUGGGGCAAGUACAAAUCUGAAUAAAUUGUUCAGAUUCACGAAGAAGUAUUAAAAUUGGCCUUAAUUUGAUCUGUUUUCUUUAACGUCUUUAUCUACCGUAAUGGCAUUUUUCAUUAAAAAAAAUAUCUUGAAAUAUCUAUUAGAUAUGGCAAGCAAUGAAAAAGAGAGGCUAGAAGAAAAGCAAAGAACUGCUCGCAAGGACCGUGCAAAAGAGGAAAUUGACUGGAGGACAAGAUGGUUUUACCAAGACACGAAUCCAUAUACUGGGACUGCUGACUGGCUAUACUCGGGAGGAUAUUUUGAUAGAAAUUUCUUUGACUGUCCAGAUAACUAUUGAAAACUUUGAAUGGAAGUUGCUCUUUUGCCCAGAAUUGAUAGACUUAAAUGAGUCCAGCGGCUAUUGGGCUAUGUCAUGACAAGAAAAUAAUAUAUUUUUCCUAAAGCAAUGAAAAUCAUCCAUCACUGAUCAAGGUUUUGUCAUGUACAUUUGCCAAAAUAUUGAAGUGCUGUUAACUCAUUUUCCUGAAGCUGCAACAUGAAAUUAUGUAAAGGGGAAAGAUGCUUGCAUGUUUUUGUUAGCUUCCUUCAAUUUAUCAUUUCAUGGUUUUGUUUUAUUUUUUUGGCCAGAAUUAACUCGCUAUAACCGGUGGGAAAAAUAGCUCCUUUCUUAAAAAGAGAAGAUAGGUACUUUUUAAGAAUAAAAUAAAAUUGAACAAUAAAAUAUAUCUUUGAAGUAUUCAAAACUUGGAGACCCCAGGGACACCUUAGCCUAACAGAUACGCUGCUGAUCCUAUUGGAAAAAGUUUCUAGCAAGAAUCCAGAGUGACUCAAAAUCCACACGAGUCUUUGAACACUCCUUAACUUUUAAAAGUUUGACAACAUACACUAGAGAUAGACUUAAUUUUCAGGAGCAAUUUUUCCAUUUUGCCUCAGCCUCUGGGCCCUGUGAUUUAUUGAUUCAAUGAAGUAUCUGUGGUUUUAUUUUUUAAAAAAGGAACUACUCCAUUGAAUGUUGGGCUGGUUUUGUAAGUGUGGAUAACAGCAAACUCUUGUGUGUUUGAAGCUGCAAAAUGUUUCGUCUUAAAACCCACUUUGGAGAUAUUUAUAGGAACUUGGAUGUCAUGUAAAUAUCAUGUAAGAAAUCAUACUCCUUGCUUUGUUCAGACAUGUUGAUUGUUUGCAGCUCUGCUUUGGGACUGAUUUUCCCAUUUCAUUUCAUAAUAUGGGCAUCCUUUUUCCUCUUUCAAUUUGCCUCGGAUACAUUUUGCAAAAGUACAUAUUUAUUUUGAGCUCUCUCCCCCCCCCCCCCAAUCACAUACUUGCAUCACAACUGGAUAACAUGUUUUUGAACAGCAAUUUUUUAAUUUGUGCAAUGCUGAAUGAUACAGUGGAAGCUUUUGAUGCAUCUCCACUUGGUAGAAUUUCCUCGAGAAUAAGGGUAAAACUGUUUGCAGUUUUAAACCUGUCAAAGCUAUGUCAUCCUGGAGCUGUUUGGAUUCAGAGGGAAAGAGUACUUUUCUUUUAUUUCUAACACACAUUAGUGAUAAUAUGUGUGGCUUUCUAAAUAAGUUAAUAUUUAUUAGAUUAUUAUUUACCAAAUUGGAGAUAAUUUACCUUGCUAUUAAAUGGUAAACCAGCAAGAGCAUAAUAAUUUAAAAGGGGCAGCGAAAAGAUUAAGAGAUUGGAUUAUAGUCCCAUGGACAUUUGUCUAUGACACAGGAAUAUUUGAAUAGUUUUCAUUACAUUUCAAGCAAAAUAAAAAAGUCACCAUGAAAAAAUACUUGAGGCAAUAAAGUACACUUUUAAGAUAAUUGAUUUGGACAGGCACUAGUUAACUCUAAAUGUUAUGUUGUUGGUUAUCUAAACUUGCUAAAUAUUGCAGCUUCAAAUUCAUUUAUUGUAUCAGGGCUUCAAAAUACCUUCAGUAAUCCCUCUCUUGAAAUCACUUGCAUCAAUGUAUUUCAAUAUAUUGCCUUUUCCUUCACAAUGUUACCCAUGAAUCAGUGUGCAUUUUAUUGUUAAUAGAUUAAUUUAUCAUGUAUCCCAGUCCAGAAACUCUUAUGGGCCCUUCUGUUUUUUUUUUGGUAGGAACAGUGAAUAUUGGUUCCAGCAGUAAUUUUUGUGCUUUACGCCCACUACAGAAUUGGUUGUUCAUAUUGCUCUCAUAAUCCACUGAUUUCGGUAUCUGAACAAUAAGGCUAUACAAAGACCAGCUGUUAUGAUACA